rnacentral:rRNA from 1 species
GGCCUAACACAUGCAAGUCGAGCGGAUGAAGGGAGCUUGCUCCUGGAUUCAGCGGCGGACGGGUGAGUAAUGCCUAGGAAUCUGCCUGGUAGUGGGGGAUAACGUCCGGAAACGGGCGCUAAUACCGCAUACGUCCUGAGGGAGAAAGUGGGGGAUCUUCGGACCUCACGCUAUCAGAUGAGCCUAGGUCGGAUUAGCUAGUUGGUGGGGUAAAGGCCUACCAAGGCGACGAUCCGUAACUGGUCUGAGAGGAUGAUCAGUCACACUGGAACUGAGACACGGUCCAGACUCCUACGGGAGGCAGCAGUGGGGAAUAUUGGACAAUGGGCGAAAGCCUGAUCCAGCCAUGCCGCGUGUGUGAAGAAGGUCUUCGGAUUGUAAAGCACUUUAAGUUGGGAGGAAGGGCAGUAAGUUAAUACCUUGCUGUUUUGACGUUACCAACAGAAUAAGCACCGGCUAACUUCGUGCCAGCA